UCAGGAUGAACGCUGGCGGCGUGCCUAAUACAUGCAAGUCGAACGAAGCACCUCGGUGCUUAGUGGCGAACGGGUGAGUAACACGUGGGUAACCUGCCCUCAAGACGAGGAUAACCGUUGGAAACGAUGGCUAAGACUGGAUAGGAAUACGGAGGCAUCUUCUGUAUUUUAAAAGACCUGGCAACAGGUAUGCUUGAGGAGGGGCCUGCGGCGCAUUAGUUAGUUGGUGAGGUGAUGGCUCACCAAGACGAUGAUGCGUAGCCGGACUGAGAGGUUGAACGGCCACAUUGGGACUGAGAGACGGCCCAAACUCCUACGGGAGGCAGCAGUAGGGAAUUUUCGGCAAUGGGGGAAACCCUGACCGAAGCAACGCCGCGUGAACGACGAAGUACUUCGGUAUGUAAAGUUCUUUUAAGAGGGAAGAAUGGCCCGUGGAAAAGCGGGCGUGACGGUACCUUUUGAAUAAGCCCCGGCUAACUAUGUGCCAGCCGCCGC
rnacentral:rRNA from 1 species